CCCAAGAACAUGCUUCUAACAUUCAUGCCUAUCAAAAAUCAGAGGUGGAGCAAUACUUGGAGGAGUUGGUGUUUCCAAGUAAUGAGAGCUUCAAUAUUCUACAUUGGUGGAAAGUGAAUAAAGCAAAAUUUCCUACUUUGGCAAGGAUAGCUCGUGAUGUUUUAAGUGUUCCUGCUACUACGGUUGCAUCAGAGGCGGCGUUUAGUGUAGGAGGUAGGGUGAUUGAUGAGACACGUGCUUCAUUACUUCCAGAUAUUGUGGAGGCCUUGAUCACUUGCAAUGAUUGGAUUGAAUCAACCAAAAAUAGAAAUGUAGAAGAAUGCAGACAUGAGUAGAUGGAUUGAAUUGAAUCGAAUCACUUGAAGUAGAUGGGUUUGAUAAUGAGCUUAACAAAGCGGUUGCUAUUAAAGUUAUUGACUUGGAAGAAUCGUGAGUAUAUAGCUUUAAU